UUGAGAGUUUGAUCCUGGCUCAGAUUGAACGCUGGCGGCAGGCCUAACACAUGCAAGUCGAGCGGUAGCACAGAGAGCUUGCUCUCGGGUGACGAGCGGCGGACGGGUGAGUAAUGUCUGGGAAACUGCCUGAUGGAGGGGGAUAACUACUGGAAACGGUAGCUAAUACCGCAUAACGUCGCAAGACCAAAGUGGGGGACCUUCGGGCCUCAUGCCAUCAGAUGUGCCCAGAUGGGAUUAGCUAGUAGGUGGGGUAACGGCUCACCUAGGCGACGAUCCCUAGCUGGUCUGAGAGGAUGACCAGCCACACUGGAACUGAGACACGGUCCAGACUCCUACGGGAGGCAGCAGUGGGGAAUAUUGCACAAUGGGCGCAAGCCUGAUGCAGCCAUGCCGCGUGUGUGAAGAAGGCCUUCGGGUUGUAAAGCACUUUCAGCGGGGAGGAAGGCGUUGAGGUUAAUAACCUUGUCGAUUGACGUUACCCGCAGAAGAAGCACCGGCUAACUCCGUGCCAGCAGCCGCGGUAAUACGGAGGGUGCAAGCGUUAAUCGGAAUUACUGGGCGUAAAGCGCACGCAGGCGGUCUGUCAAGUCGGAUGUGAAAUCCCCGGGCUCAACCUGGGAACUGCAUUCGAAACUGGCAGGCUAGAGUCUUGUAGAGGGGGGUAGAAUUCCAGGUGUAGCGGUGAAAUGCGUAGAGAUCUGGAGGAAUACCGGUGGCGAAGGCGGCCCCCUGGACAAAGACUGACGCUCAGGUGCGAAAGCGUGGGGAGCAAACAGGAUUAGAUACCCUGGUAGUCCACGCCGUAAACGAUGUCGAUUUGGAGGUUGUGCCCUUGAGGCGUGGCUUCCGGAGCUAACGCGUUAAAUCGACCGCCUGGGGAGUACGGCCGCAAGGUUAAAACUCAAAUGAAUUGACGGGGGCCCGCACAAGCGGUGGAGCAUGUGGUUUAAUUCGAUGCAACGCGAAGAACCUUACCUGGUCUUGACAUCCACAGAACUUUCCAGAGAUGGAUUGGUGCCUUCGGGAACUGUGAGACAGGUGCUGCAUGGCUGUCGUCAGCUCGUGUUGUGAAAUGUUGGGUUAAGUCCCGCAACGAGCGCAACCCUUAUCCUUUGUUGCCAGCGGUUAGGCCGGGAACUCAAAGGAGACUGCCAGUGAUAAACUGGAGGAAGGUGGGGAUGACGUCAAGUCAUCAUGGCCCUUACGACCAGGGCUACACACGUGCUACAAUGGCAUAUACAAAGAGAAGCGACCUCGCGAGAGCAAGCGGACCUCAUAAAGUAUGUCGUAGUCCGGAUUGGAGUCUGCAACUCGACUCCAUGAAGUCGGAAUCGCUAGUAAUCGUAGAUCAGAAUGCUACGGUGAAUACGUUCCCGGGCCUUGUACACACCGCCCGUCACACCAUGGGAGUGGGUUGCAAAAGAAGUAGGUAGCUUAACCUUCGGGAGGGCGCUUACCACUUUGUGAUUCAUGACUGGGGUGAAGUCGUAACAAGGUAACC
rnacentral:rRNA from 1 species